rnacentral:lncRNA from 1 species
AUGACAUAAAGGGAGUUAAUUCAUUCAGUUGUUCAUUGUCUUUCUCUUGUUAAUCUGUAGAAUUCCAAUCAUGAUGAUGACAUCAACACAGAUGGUCACAUGAGUAACACUUCGACCAAUGGAGAGGAAGAACUCAACAAUUCCAGCAGUGAAGAUGAACUCAGUAAUGAGAACUCUUCCACAAUCAGCCUGUUGGAUAUGGACAUUCAAGAGAAUGAUAAUAAAGAUAACCAAAUUAACACAGAAGAGCACCGGAGUAACACUUCCAACAGUGAAGAUGAAGAUGAUGAACUCAACAACACUGAGAACCCUACCACAAGCCACUCGCAUGUGGACAUUUCAGAGAAUGAGGAAGCCCUGUCACAUUCUGAAGAGGACUUGAUUGAUGCUGCCAGUAAUGAAGGUGAAAACCAUGCUGACGAUGAAGACGUGAUGGAGGGGAAUAGUACUUGAGAAA